AGUGAACGCUAGCGGUAGGCCUAACACAUGCAAGUCGAACGGCAGCACAGUAAGAGCUUGCUCUUACGGGUGGCGAGUGGCGGACGGGUGAGGAAUACAUCGGAAUCUACUUUUUCGUGGGGGAUAACGUAGGGAAACUUACGCUAAUACCGCAUACGACCUACGGGUGAAAGUAGGGGAUCUUCGGACCUUGCGCGAUUGAAUGAGCCGAUGUCGGAUUAGCUAGUUGGCGGGGUAAAGGCCCACCAAGGCGACGAUCCGUAGCUGGUCUGAGAGGAUGAUCAGCCACACUGGAACUGAGACACGGUCCAGACUCCUACGGGAGGCAGCAGUGGGGAAUAUUGGACAAUGGGCGCAAGCCUGAUCCAGCCAUACCGCGUGGGUGAAGAAGGCCUUCGGGUUGUAAAGCCCUUUUGUUGGGAAAGAAAAGCAGCAGGUUAAUACCCCGCUGCUCUGACGGUACCCAAAGAAUAAGCACCGGCUAACUUCGUG
rnacentral:rRNA from 1 species